AAAUAUUAAAUAAUAAAACAAAAUCCUCAUAACUUGGAGACAUAAAAUAACCUAGUUUUUUUUUAUAAAUAGGCUAAAGUAGUGACAAAUUAGGAUUGCCCACUAUUUUACCGAAACAGAAAAAUAAAAUAGAGAAGAAAAGAGAGGAUUCAUGAGAGAAAGAAAGAGGAGAAAAACCACGGAGAUCACUACUAGACAGGUUUUCAGGUAAACAAUGAUGCUUAGCUGAGAGUCCGGAGAUGGCAUUAGGAGCUGUCUUCCUUUUGCGUUUUCAAUAAUUGAGUCGCUCUGCUAGGAAGUCCUAUGGGAGAACUCUAAAUUUUAUUUUAGUUGAUUUAUUGCUUUACGAAUUUUUAAAUUGAACCGUGGUGUUUACCUUAGUAAUUUGAAUCUUUCGGACAAAUUAGUUUUGUUUAUGAGUUUGUUUCCGCUGCAUUUUUAUUAAAGAGACAUUUUACAAAUAAAAUUAAAGGGUAAAAA